rnacentral:rRNA from 1 species
AGAGUUUGAUCAUGGCUCAGAUUGAACGCUGGCGGCAGGCCUAACACAUGCAAGUCGAGCGGUAGAGAGAAGCUUGCUUCUCUUGAGAGCGGCGGACGGGUGAGUAAUGCCUAGGAAUCUGCCUGGUAGUGGGGGAUAACGUCCGGAAACGGACGCUAAUACCGCAUACGUCCUACGGGAGAAAGCAGGGGACCUUCGGGCCUUGCGCUAUCAGAUGAGCCUAGGUCGGAUUAGCUAGUUGGUGGGGUAAUGGCUCACCAAGGCGACGAUCCGUAACUGGUCUGAGAGGAUGAUCAGUCACACUGGAACUGAGACACGGUCCAGACUCCUACGGGAGGCAGCAGUGGGGAAUAUUGGACAAUGGGCGAAAGCCUGAUCCAGCCAUGCCGCGUGUGUGAAGAAGGUCUUCGGAUUGUAAAGCACUUUAAGUUGGGAGGAAGGGCAGUAAAUUAAUACUUUGCUGUUUUGACGUUACCGACAGAAUAAGCACCGGCUAACUCUGUGCCAGCAGCCGCGGUAAUAC